GCGACGGGAGGCGACUAGUGGAGGGAGUUACCGCGAGAACAGAUAUGCGGCGAGACUUCCUUCUUAAAGGAGCCGGCGGUGAAAUGCGCGCUGCAGGAGUUAUCGCGAGGUUUGCUGGCGCUGCCGCGAAAGAACAUUCUUCCUGAGAGCCCACACCCAGCUCCAGCCUGCAUGGGGUUUUGUGCUUGAAGCAGAGCCUUUUCUGAGCCAGAAUAGAAGAAGUGGCAGAGCACUUGGCACAGGGACAUCAGCCUGAGUUUCCCACCUUCCAAGCGAGAGAAAGAGCUAUUAGUUAUUCAAGAGGGGACUGUUACAGCUAAUAACGAGGGAGUAUUGGUAACACCAGGAUUUUCAUCUUGUUUGCAUACCUCAGUUCAAUACAACAACUUGUGAGCUCUUGCCCUUUUAUCCUUUUUUAAUUUAGAUCAAAUAUAUAUCACUCUUUAAACAAAAAAUUGACUAUGAAAAUUUUGCUGAAGUAAGCAAUUUAAGGAUGUUACCUUUUUAUUGCAAUGAUUUGUUGUCACUGGUUUUGCAGAAUGAAUGAAGAACUGUAUGGCAAGGUGGUCACCAAGUGAAGGUUCACUGUCUGGCUCCCAUGCCUCCGGCCAGCUAUGGGUUAGUCAUGUUUCCUCUCCCAGAGGCUAUGAAGCCCUCUGAUAAUUGAAGGUGAUCAGGACAUUAAAACAGAACCUGGUAAAGCAGGGAGGUCAUUAUAAUGCUGUACCUACUUGGGGAAAUGUUUGAAUUCUGGGAAAAUCUGCAGGUAUGAACAUCAUCUGCUGAAAAAGAAAGAAAAAAAAAAAGCAGAACAGAGAAGACUUGUACUCUAGGUAGCUGGUUGUAAUAAGCAGGUAGGAAAUUACUUCUGUUCAAGCUAAAGAAUCAAAAAGCUGAAUAUGUGGAACUCCAGAACUGUUUAUGACACUUCAUAUCUAUCUUGUGGAUACUAAAGGCCAGAUUUACUUUCUGCAUCUCUUCCCUCUGCUGUAGGUACAGGAAGAAUUAGUCUUACAAAUAAGCAUUCAUCCUAUAUUGUCUGUGUAAAUAGGUUGUGGCACUGUUCGGUUUCUACACAUUUAGAAAAGGAAAAGAAAAUAUAUUCAGAUUAAAAUUUCUGAAAGACGUGUGAUUUUUUUGAGGGAGAGAGAGAUAUGUACUUAGUGUACAUGUGAAACAUUUACUUAUUUUUUUGCCUCAUGAUACAAACAGGCAAAUUUUGCAAAAUUGUUAUUAACAGAGAAUUAGUAUUAGCAACAGACCAUGCAAGAAGAUGUCCCUAGAACUCUGGAGUAAGUCAUAACAAAUGUAGUUAUUCCUCGUGUGUGGAGCUGGUUACAUGCUUUUACUAUGGUGCUUUGCCAUGUCCAGUCUGAAAGGUCAUAGUAAGCAGUCUGUUGCCAGUCUGCUCAGCCACACUAAUGUAUUAUUAGUAAUAUACAGGCUCUGCCUGGCUGUUGAGAUGAUCAGAGAGCUUCAACCUUGACAGUCAUGGACUGUUCUCUACCACCUGAAGAAAAACUGGAAAACAUAAAACCAAUUAAUUUUCUUUAAAACAAUUAGUGCCCCAGGAGUACAAAAGGCACUACUCCAUUAUUUGGUAUCCCUUCUGAUGGAAUCCAGUGGAGUCUCACCUGGAAUGAAACCUACAUAACACUUAAUUGAAGAUUAGAUUGGGGCAUAUGUAAGGGUUGGAUACACUGCCAGUAUAUCUAUGUUUGUUCAUAGUUAGUAAGGGUUGAUCUUUGUUUACAAGUGGUACACUGCGGCUAAUAGCAGAGCUAGUCUCUCCGCUUUGCUAAAGUGGCUCUUAGGAAGGUCUGAAAGAGAAACUAAGUCAUAGUAUUCCUUCUCCACAAUCAUUUCCACACAGUUUUGUCUAAUGAAAAGCUUUCUAUACUCUUUAACCCAUCUUUAACAGAGUACACAAUUGUUUCCAUGACAUACAGAGCUUCAGCAACUGCUAUCCUGGCCUGGAUUCAAGCUGCAUUCAAAUGCAGCUGAUGAUCUGCAUUUAUCUAUUUCCAAUUCACAGCUAUAAAAGUUCAGUGUUUGUUAUCAAUUCUUUUCUACAACUGCAUGCUCAAGGACACAGACUUACAUCCAGGUUUGCAUAUGAAAAAAUCUGUAAAUCCAAGGGAUAUUUGUUCUGUUUUGGAUUGGGUUUUAGAUUUUUCCCAUUGCUUUAGCUGUUGCUGCACACACUGAUGAGAAAUCACGUUGUUUGAGAAGUAAGAAUCUGCCUGACCCCUUAAAAAAAAAAAAAAAGCUAAACUUUUCUUGAGUUUCAGAAACUACAUUCAGUUUCUAACCUCCCUUCUACCUGACUCCUAUCAGAUUAUACUGCAAUCUAUGUGGGUUCAGCACUUGCUGCCUGAGUGCUCUUGAACCAAAAUUCCAGAGCUUUGCCAAAGCCACAGAGAUAUACUCACCAUAAAUGUUUGAUAGUGGCUAUUUAAAGUUAUUGCAAUAAAUCAGGGAUAGUAAGAAGUAGGAGAAGCUCCCUUGUCAGAGACUGUCAGGGAAGCAAAUAGCUCGGGUAGCCUGAAGGAGAAAGCCUCUUCAGUAAAAGAAUUAAAAAUAUAGAAUUUGUUGAUUCUUUACAAAUCACAUAAUGAUGCAAUGCAUUCUCGAGGUUCUGAAAUUCAUGAACAAAUUAGAAAACACUUUCAAAGCACAGUCAGCCAUCAAAGAAAGUAGAAGAUACCCUUCUAAGUAAGGGUCAUGGCGUUGAAGCUAGUGGAAGGAGCAGCAAGAUGGGAGAGGCAGUGGAUACAAGAAGGCAGAGCAAGCCACCUUAAAAACAAAACCCAAACCAACCACCACCACCAAAAAAACCCAAAAAACAAAGCAAAACCAAAAACCAAAAAAAAGCCAACCAAAUAAUCAAAAAAACCACUAAAAAAAACUUGCCAAACAAUUGUUUUUAAAGUUCUCUUUUCAAAGUUCUGAUUUUUUCAGGUUGUUUCAUCAAAAUAUAUUGCCUGGUACAACUGAAUGUGUUCUCUUAGAAACAUAUGAAAUAUUUGCAAGAAAAGUAACAGUUUUCAGCAAUUUUCACACUUCAUUUCUAGCCUCUAAAUGAGCCUAUCUUGCCAAAAACAUUGUUUUAUUUUGUGAAUGUUUUAAAAAGGGACUUUGCUAAUGGAAAAAUAUCUCCUUUCCAGGAAAACUGAGGUUGAUCUGAACAGAAAGUACUGCUGAAAUUAGAAAGGUUAGCAUAGCACAAGAGCUUUAGCUGGGAGAAUUAGUAAGAGUCUCCUGUGAUCUCUGCAGGCAUGAAGUCUCAAACUUUCGUUCUUCAGCUAAUUAGCGCAAAAUAGAAAUUUUCCACACUGAAAAGCAAUAUUGCCACCAUUGCAAAACAAUGCAACUUACAGAACUGUUGCAACAGAUUGGACCCAAGUCCUCCCAGCCCUACAGACAGUCUUGAAAAGUGUUUAGUGUAUUUAUGUGGGGUUUUUUCUUAUGCUGUAAUGGUAAUUUUGAGAUAGCAGUACCAAAACUGCCCAAAACUGUUAAAUCUGGAUACUUCAUAGAUUUCUAUAGUGUAACAUAACUUCUUAUGUUAUCUGGAUGAUGAUUUGAGAACAAAACUUGAGAAUUUAAUUCCUACUUAAAUUUUCACGCAGUCAUCACAAAGAAAUGCACAGUUCAAAUGCCGUGCAGUGAACGACCAGUGAGUGGCUGUUUUGUAAGUAUUAAUACCAAUACUCAUGCUCUGCGUAAGGAAUGAAAAAGAAUUAACAUAGCUGAUAACAUGCAACAGUAAAGAAUACUUCCAGUGCUAAAUCACACUAACCUUGACAGUUUGUCUGAAGAGUGAAAGCAGAUAGUUUUCACAAGAUUUCUAGGUGAGAAUAGUUUUAUACGUAUAGAAAGGUGACUUUGGAGGGACUGAAAUUUCUAAAUUGACGCAGUAUGGAAAAUUCUUCAACAUAAUUUUUUACCAAUUGUAAUUGUCAAGGGUUUAUAGUAGACGCCUCAAUAUCACAAACAAGCUUUUGACUAAUAUAUUUAUCAUAUCAGACCUUUUCUUUUUUUUUUUUUUAUGUAAUCUUACUAGUGAAAGACUGUUAUAGGCAAGAAUUCAUACCUCUGACAAUUUACACCAAACCCAAAAAAAGGCCAGUACAUAUGAAUAGAAUUUCAAGGAUAAGUUCACUGAAAACCAAAACUAAAAUUCUGCUGUUUUCUUAAACAAGAUAUGCAAAGCUAACAGGGCUAACUGCAUGUAUGCAGUUACUUCACUCUUUCUUCUGUCUGGGAAAUGGGCCAAUUCUGAUCUUUGGGCUUAACUAACAAAUAGGAAGGGAUUUAAAUCGGGGGAAAUAAGACUGAUAUUCUCAACAUAUUCAACAUAUUCCCAAUGAACACUUUAUUUACAUCAUAUAUCAUACUAAAUAUCCAGUUCUUGAAGAGGCUGAUCACACGUAAUUUUUGUUCAGAACAGCAGUGACAGAGGAGCUACUACUAAAAGAAGUUCUAAAGCAAACGCCUUUAAAGAAUAAUGUAGGAAAUAUAUAGUUGUAAUUUGAUUAGGAGAUACUUUCCUCUUCUUCAUAUUCACCUGAGCUAUUUGUGUAAAAUAUGUUUUCCUCUCAGUUUUAGUCGAUUUAAACUAAUAGUAUUGGUAAGGCUACCUUUUGGUUUUUUUAAGAUUAAUUUUAUUGACAUCACUGGAGAUAGAGAUACCAGCAUUUCCACACUAAGUGAACAUCUCUGAAGACUGUGAAAUUACUGAACCCUACAGAUUUUACCUAAACUAUCCAAGCUUUCACACUUAGGCAGCAGACUGCGGUACAGAUGAAGCAGAAAAGGCAAGGAAGAGAUAGCGUUAUCUUUGACAUGAUCUGUUAAACGAGAAAUAUCGCCUGCCUGCAUUCUCCUUUAUCCCCUCAACACACAUAACCCCCACCCCAAAACAGCAACUCUGACAUCCUGUAACUAGAAACCAAUACUUUAAAGCAGUUUUGUGUAGUGUAAAUUACAGAGUCUGCUACACAAAUAAUUUGCACUGAAAUGUUUAUCAGCUCUCUGACAUAGCUGCUUCCAUUUAUAGCUUAUAAACUGUUUUUUACUGGUUGCUUCACAUCUGAUAACAUGGCUUGAGAACAGGUGGUGGAAAUGUCAGGCAAUUAUGAGAGCCUCUGUUUGCGCGUGUGUGGUCUCUUGGUUUGCAAGGCCACUGACCACAUACGAAGACAUUGUAAAAGUCUCAAAGUUUGAUUAUCAGCAUCCAUUGUUGAGUACUGCCCUAGCUGCAGCUGGAGUCUUUCUGGACUGUAAACAGCUUUACCAAAGGGUUAAAAGUUCAAAAUUUUCAAGACCUAUGUUCAAGAUCAAAAUUUACUCAAAGUAAAGUAAAUCACCAAAUAUUUUUAAAUCUUUAAUGUGGAAGUAGAAAGGCUGUGUAUCUCUCGAGUAUUCCACUGUAAAGCUGGUUUCUUAGUACGGCUCAGAAAGUGAUAUGUUGGCCAAGGCAGAAGUGGACUUUUUUGUGGUACGUUACCUUCCAUCUUUAAGGAUUUUGUAGCAAACCUUGCUGGAAUAAGUUGGUUGUGCACAGGUAAAUUAGGAAGGGUUGUUUAAUUUUCUUUGCAAGGAUGGAAGUUUUAUCAUGAAAAUAUCCUCCAGGAGAUUCCUUGCAAAUUCUUCAUGCUCAGUGAGAAAUAUCCAUCUUUAGAGGCAGAAUACAGUCUAAUUCAGAAUACAGAUUUUUGGUUUAGCAAAACAAGAACAUAGUUUUGUGAUCAGUAAUCUCCAAUCAAGAAAGGAUCAAACUAAAGGUAAAAUCUUGCAAAUUACUACUUGCAUGUAUAAAGCCUUUUAAUCAGAGUAAAGGCUUUACGUAAUUUGAAAUGCUUUCAAAUUUUAAUGCCAUUAUUGCUAAGAACUUUUUUGCUUUGGAAGGUCUAAGUCGUGCAGGACUGUUUCUCCCCAGUGGGUAUAGUCCAACUCACAUUGUUUUCCACUACCUUCCUGCAUUUGGAUUUGACAGGCAGCAUUUGCCAUUACACAGAAACAAAAAUAACUUCAAAUAUUUGCCCUAAAGCCACAAUAGGGAUGCUCAUCUUGGAUUUCAGCAGACAUUAAAAUAACCUUUGUAGAAUUGAAAGGAACAAACAAGUACUAAAGAGGGUAUUCUACAGGUGAUGCAGUCUUGCGUUACUCUUUCUACCACUGUGUUUCCUCCAAACACACCUGUAUUUAUCGAGGUCCCCUUCCCAUUUAUUGUGCAGUCAUAACCUCCAGAAAAAAAGCAUGCAUUCUAGUCCAGCAUUUUAAGUACAAUGGGCUCUCUUCCAUCUACAAAGCAUAUAAUUUCAAGAGGAAUUCGACAACAGGUCUGUGCAGUUUAUCCAAAUGCUUCUAGUACGUGUUUCCAGUACUAUUGACUGAGUUGGGAAAAAGGUGGCAGGUCUGGACAUAAAAAGUGCAUGAACCAUAAUAAUUUUGAAAGAAGGUGACCAGUGACAGGAAUGAAGCUGUGUGAGGGGAAGUUCAGAUUGGACAUUAGGAAGAGGUUCUUCACUGAGAGGGUAAGCUAUCACCAGAAAAGGCUCCUCUGGGAAGUGCUCACAGCACCAAGCCUGUCAGAGUUCAAGGAGAAUCUGGACAAUGCUCUAAGUCAUAUGGUUCAGUUUUAGGUAGUCCUGCAAGGAGCAGGGAGCUGGACUCGGUAAUCCUUAUGGGUGCCUUCCAACUUAGUAUAUUCUAUGAUUUUAUGAUCAUAUAUGUAUAUGAUUAUACAUAUUGGGAAGUUUAACUGCAUGGCCUCUGCAGAACUCUUUUGGGACUCAGUAAAGUACAAUAUACCCUGAGAUCAUUGUACUGAAGUUCCCAAGGACUAAUUGCGGUUUUUGCAUUUUCCUUUCUUGCAAUUUUUGUUGCAAAUAAUCCUGAAAGUUAGUCCGUGCAUGACAAUAAAGAUAAUUUUGUAUUCUAAAAAUGCAGACAAGAAAAUAUACCUGCAGCUCACACUUAAAUAUAUUAGAAUUACUGCAAAUAUCUGUUUUCAGCUGUUUGGCCAUGAAAUCAGUUUUAUCAAGCUAACUCAUUCUGCAGACUCAUUUUUGUUACAUGUAUAUCUCAGAGACAGGUUGGUAUCCUCUUUUACUUGUCUGAGUUUACAAGAAUGGAUGUGUCAAAAUGGAGAGGUUUUGAAUGGACUAUGGUUGUGUACUUGACAAGAAUUUUUUUAAUUUAUAUUGUUCUGACGUUUUCAGCAUGACCCUAUAUUAGAGUUUUAGUUUGCCCUUUCAGAAUGCAUUUUAGAAAAAAAGCAAUUUCUCAUUUUCUGACUGAAGAAUGUGUUGUAUUUUAUUUCAUACCCAUGUCAAGCAAUGUCUAUUGAAAAUACUGUAAGACUGCAAAAUCGCAUGUCCAGAAAUAAGUGGCAGAAUUAAAGUGUCUGUUAUCUCUAA